CAGGGGGUAGUCUCCCAAAUCGCCCAUCGCACUUCUGACAGGCUACAGAGCUGGACAGGAGGAACCUGGAAGUUGAAGGAAAGGAAAGGCAGAGAGAGAGGCCCCUGACUGGGGCUAGUGAGAAGGGUGGGCGAGACAGAUCCUCUCCAGAGGCGGGGGGGGGGGGGGGGACCAAAAAAAACAAAAACACAUGUAUAGAUGGCCUCUUCAAGCAGGCUUGAAGACAAAGACAACACCAGGAAGAGGUUUGGCAGAAAAGACAGCCCAAGAUGCUCAGGAUCCAGCUUAGGACCUUAUGCCCAAGAGUUCAAUUCCUUAGUCACCAAACCCCUUCCAAGGGCUGCCUGAUCCUAUUUUGUGCUUGCUGUCAGAACCACCAGGUUCCAGAUGCCGACAUGAUUCGGACCAGACUUUCCUGGACAGACGACCCCACCAAUGUGUCCUGGAGCUCCAUUUCCCUAGAACCCCACCCUACUAGGGAAAGAGAGAGGCAG